AAAAGGGUAAUAGGGAAAAACUUUAUAGAUGCUUUCUGGGGCUAGACUGUGGUAUGAUGGGGAUGCCUUAGGGGGAGAGUUAGCCCUGAGAUCUUCUCCUAAAUAGAAAAGUCUGGCUAGGGGAGACAUGGAGCAGGCUCUAGUGGUAAGGACCCUGAUUAAAAGUGCAGAAUCCUGACUUCCAGGGAGAGAGCUAUGAGAGGUGUCCUAUAGAGCAUUUAGGAACCAUGGAAAGAAUUUAGGAACCAAGCAUUUAGGAUCCAAGUUGGAGGAGAGCAGAAACUAGUUUAAAUUUACACUUCUGGUUUGGGAUGUACUGUGAGGAGUCCUGCCCCUGAAAGAAGGCUGAAUUUUGAGAGGCUAUGGAAGAGGCUUGCUGACAGGAUUCAUAGCAAGAAGUCUUGUGGCGUAAACCACGACUACUUGUCCGUGGUCCCUUGACUGGAACCUUGUGCAGAGAGUGAGCCUGGGUUCCCCUACCAGCCCUUGGGAAGGUGGUGUGAAGCCUCUGAGAGGGGGAUAUGAAUGACUAGAAGCCCUGAGAAGAGGGUGUAUGGACCACUGGGUCCAGAACUGCAGGCGGAAGACUGUAUGGAGGGAUCUGGUUUUUGUUGGCUUUUCAACAAGCUCUGAAUGUAACCUGGCUGGAGAACUGAGUCACAAGAUGGAGGCUGACCACUGCAGGGCCAAGAAGCUGUUGGCAAGGGGUGCUAGAUGAGGAAAGUCUACUAUGCCCAUGAAGUGGUGCACCCAGAGAACCUCUGAGCAGUCUUCAAGCUCCUAGUGAAGUCCAGAAAAGCUCCGCAGCAAAAGAUAUUUGGGAAAGUGAUCAGGUUUGUGCUUUUUCUCCCCCCACCCUAGCUAUCUGCUGGUGAAGAGGAUUAGACUGACAACUCAAGGGUAACUGACCAAAAGUGAAUCUGGCUAAGGCUUGAUGCUGCAAUUUUAUGCAUGGUGGCACACAGCAAAGUUGUUGCACUUGGUGCACAUGGAAGCAGCACCUAACAAAGUAAGGUUGCAAGCAGGGUUAAAUGCUAGUAGUAAUAUGCUUCCAACUUCUCCUGAAAGGAGACUAAACUCCCCCAUAGGCAUUCCAUCAAUCCUUGGCCUCCUGGAGAUAAACAACCAACAGGGGCUAACUGAUGCUAAAUGCAAAGGUGGGUUUGGUGACAUGGGCACCUCUUCACUGAGACCUGGACUGAAAUCCCAACCCAUUUCACACAAGAUGCCCAGCAGCCAUCGGAUGGCAACAGCUUUUGGUCCCUGCCCAUCUGAGUUGGACUGGAACAGGCAACUUGUUGCCAUCCCAUGAAAGCCACGAAGUCCUCCCCCAGUGUCUUUCAAAAUGUAGCUGGCUCAUGUUUAAGGAGUUUGGAACGCUAGCUUGACCUAUCAUUCCCUCAACACGUCGUCCUGAGACAAUUUGGUGGGGGAAACCUUUUUGUUGCCCUUGGAUAUUUCAUAAUUAUAAAUAUUUUAUAACAAGUUAAAUGUUAAUUGUGUGCUGUCAUGGGAGAAGAUCCAUUGUUGUAGUCAAUUAAUAUUUAAUUUAUUAGCCAUCAAAUAUUUAAAUAUAUCCAAUGGACCUUUUCA